rnacentral:rRNA from 1 species
AUUGAACGCUGGCGGCAUGCUUUACACAUGCAAGUCGAACGGUAACAGGUUAAGCUGACGAGUGGCGAACGGGUGAGUAAUGCAUCGGAACGUGCCCGGUCGUGGGGAUAACGCAGCGAAAGCUGCGCUAAUACCGCAUACGAUCUGAGGAUGAAAGCGGGGGACCGUAAGGCCUCGCGCGAUCGGAGCGGCCGAUGUCAGAUUAGGUAGUUGGUGGGGUAAAGGCUCACCAAGCCAACGAUCUGUAGCUGGUCUGAGAGGACGACCAGCCACACGGGGACUGAGACACGGCCCAGACUCCGACGGGAGGCAGCAGUGGGGAAUUUUGGACAAUGGGCGAAGGCCUGAUCCAGCAAUGCCGCGUGCAGGAAGAAGGCCUUCGGGUUGUAAACUGCUUUUGUACGGAGCGAAAAGGUCUCCUCUAAUACAGGGGGCUCAUGACGGUACCGUAAGAAUAAGCACCAGCUAACUACGUGCCAGCCGCCGCCGUAA